CCAUAAUCCCCAUAUGUCAUGGGAGGGGCCUGGUGGGAGGUAAUUGAAUCAUGAGGGUGAUUAUCCUUAUGCUGCUGUUCUUGUGAUAGUAAUUGAGUUCUCAUGAGAUCUGACGGUUUUACAAUCGGCUUUUUCUCUUUUUGCUCAGUACUACUUCCUGUCACCAUGUGAAGAAGGAUGUGUUUGCUUCACCUUCUGCCAUAAUUGUAAUUUUCCUGAGGCCUCCCCAACCUUGCAGAACUACUUCCUGUUCCUUGAUGCUCAAGAGAGGGAGAAAAAAAGACAAGAUAAGUCUAUAGUGGACCUUGGCACUUGGAAAUUCACCAGGGAAAAACUAGACGAUACUGUGUGA
rnacentral:lncRNA from 1 species